CUCUCUAUCCCUUCCUCCUCUCCUUCCCCUCUCUACUCUCAUUUUCAACAUGCAAAACACGAAGCUGCAGCUCCCAACCACCAGCCAUCCUGCAGCCCCCUCUCCAUCGAUCUUCUCUGCUCAAAUUAAACCACUUCCUUCCUACCUUCCCCAAUUUAGUCAAUGGCGGGCUGCAGCCUGUUGGAGCGCAGGCGGCCGCUGCGGGGCUAGCGGCAGGCUCCAUGGUCCAGUGAGUCCAGAUUGAGGACACGUUCCUAGCCGCAAGAAGAUUAAUUCGGUGGCCGGCCAGCUCCGACGUCCCCGCAGGCGGUGGUAGGACACGGGCGAGCGGACGGGCGGCGCUACGCUGCGGGCACGAACGGCCAGCAUCAAGGCAACGGGUGAGGAGCUUUGUGCCGUCGGGGCCGGCCGGGGCGGACGUGGGCAGGACGCACGUGAGCGUUUCGCGGCGGUGAGCCAGAGCAGCCGUGCGCGAGUCGCGGCCUCCGGCGAGUCCGGGCGCCGAGAUCUCCAGCGCGGGCGGCGGCCUCCGACGACUGCGAGCACCAAGCUCUCUAGCGCGGGCGGCAGCGUCAAGCUCCCUGGCUCAGUGCGGCAGUCUCCAGCAGUGGGGUCGUCUGCCCCCGCACAAAUAGGGCGGGUAGUUAGUUUUUUUUAUACUUAGAAGUGAAUUUAUUUGAUCUUAUUUUUACUUUUUAAUUCUCAUUGUAAUUAGACAAUUUAUCAACUUCUUUUAUCAUCA